AUGAUUUUUACGCCGAUCUCAUACGUUGACAACACAAACGUUGACAACGUGGGUCUGGUUAGGAGUUUGAAGCUUUUGGUUGAACGCUCCUACUAGUAGCGUUGAAAGAGAUACAAGCUUUUAGGGAAAAAAUGACUAUUUUAAUAUACAAGCUUUUUAAAUUUUUCGUUAUGUCCAUUUUGGUCAUUUUAUACAUUUUAUUAAAAGCUUCAGCUACUCUGCCAAACACCAAAUAUAUCUAAAAAACUUAGGGCUGGCAAUUGGGUACCUAUUAAGACACGAUUAGACCUGUUUGACUGAAAAAUACACCUUUUAACUUUUUUAAUGUUUAAAAUAAUUAAAAUUACAAUGUUAGGAUCUAUCAUUUAUUCAUCUUUGUACAUAAAACAUAAAACUGUUUUAUAAACAUGAGGUAGAAAGUAGUUAAACGAGUCGUAAUCAUGUUUGAAACUUAUGUUGUGCGCGCCGUCAAAAACCUGUUAAACCUGUUAAGACACGAUUUGCCAGCCUUAAAAAAACUACAGCUACCAGCUUCUAGCCACCAACUACUUUUGCCAAACAUACCCAUAAUAAUCUUUGAUAGAUAAAAAUAAUAAAAGAUAUCUACAAAUCUAGAAUAAUAUCAGAAAUUACCUAAUAUUUGACCCUAAAAUGAAACAAUGUGUAAAUUUCACCAACCUUUAUUGUCUAAAAGCAACCGAUUCAAUUCAAACUAAUGUGAAUUAAAUAAUUUUGUUUAGUGUUAUUAGUUUACCAAAAUGGAUUGCCAACCAACUAUGGGUUGGAAUUGAAUGCAACCCUAUUGUUUUUUUCUGCCAUUGAAAGUGACCUCUCGGUUGGUAAUUUUAUGACCCUUUACACUCUUUCCAUCUAUGAA
rnacentral:lncRNA from 1 species